GAUGAACGCUGGCGGCGUGCCUAAUACAUGCAAGUCGAGCGAACGGAUGAGAAGCUUGCUCCUCUGAUGUUAGCGGCGGACGGGUGAGUAACACGUGGAUAACCUACCUAUAAGACUGGGAUAACUUCGGGAAACCGGAGCUAAUACCGGAUAAUAUUUUGAACCGCAUGGUUCAAAAGUGAAAGACGGUCUUGCUGUCACUUAUAGAUGGAUCCGCGCUGCAUUAGCUAGUUGGUAAGGUAACGGCUUACCAAGGCAACGAUGCAUAGCCGACCUGAGAGGGUGAUCGGCCACACUGGAACUGAGACACGGUCCAGACUCCUACGGGAGGCAGCAGUAGGGAAUCUUCCGCAAUGGGCGAAAGCCUGACGGAGCAACGCCGCGUGAGUGAUGAAGGUCUUCGGAUCGUAAAACUCUGUUAUUAGGGAAGAACAUAUGUGUAAGUAACUGUGCACAUCUUGACGGUACCUAAUCAGAAAGCCACGGCUAACUACGUG
rnacentral:rRNA from 1 species